UCGGGAAUUUUGGGCAAUGGGCGAAAGCCUGACCCAGCAACGCCGCGUGAAGGAUGAAGUAUUUCGGUAUGUAAACUUCGUAAGAAUAGGAAGAAUAAAUGACGGUACUAUUUAUAAGGUCCGGCUAACUACGUGCCAGCAGCCGCGGUAAUACGUAGGGACCAAGCGUUGUUCGGAUUUACUGGGCGUAAAGGGCGCGUAGGCGGCAUGACAAGUCACUUGUGAAAUCUCUGGGCUUAACCCAGAACGGCCAAGUGAUACUGUCGCGCUAGAGUGCAGAAGGGGCAAUCGGAAUUCUUGGUGUAGCGGUGAAAUGCGUAGAUAUCAAGAGGAACACCUGAGGUGAAGACGGGUUGCUGGGCUGACACUGACGCUGAGGCGCGAAAGCCAGGGGAGCAAACGGGAUUAGAUACCCUAGUAGUCCCUGAGCGGGCUGGCAAGGCGCAU
rnacentral:rRNA from 1 species